rnacentral:rRNA from 1 species
CUACGGGUGGCUGCAGUGGGGAAUAUUGGACAAUGGGCGAAAGCCUGAUCCAGCCAUGCCGCGUGUGUGAAGAAGGCCUUCGGGUUGUAAAGCACUUUCAGUGGGGAAGAAAGCCUUGGGGCUAAUACCCUCGAGGAAGGACAUCACCCACAGAAGAAGCACCGGCUAACUCCGUGCCAGCAGCCGCGGUAAUACGGAGGGUGCGAGCGUUAAUCGGAAUUACUGGGCGUAAAGCGCGCGUAGGCGGUCUGAUAAGCCGGUUGUGAAAGCCCCGGGCUCAUCCUGGGAACGGCAUCCGGAACUGUCAGGCUAGAGUGCAGGAGAGGAAGGUAGAAUUCCCGGUGUAGCGGUGAAAUGCGUAGAGAUCGGGAGGAAUACCAGUGGCGAAGGCGGCCUUCUGGACUGACACUGACGCUGAGGUGCGAAAGCGUGGGUAGCAAACAGGAUUAGAUACCCGAGUAGUC